UGUCCAAACUCCUAUCCCUACCUCCUCGCGGUACUUGUCAGGGUACGAGUAACCCUAGGGAAGAUCGGGUAACCAACCCCGGUGGGAAGUCUGGUCGUAUGAUGACAGGGAAGG
rnacentral:ribozyme from 1 species